rnacentral:rRNA from 1 species
GUAUAUUUAAGUUGCUGCAGUUAAAAAGCUCGUAGUUGGAUUUCGGGUGGGCACUGCCGGUCCGCCGUUUCGGUGUGCACUUGCAGGUCCCACCUUGUUGCCGGGGACGUGUUCCUGGGCUUUGCUGUCCGGGACACGGAGUCGGCGAGGUUACUUUGAGUAAAUUAGAGUGUUCAAAGCAGGCCUACGCUCUGAAUACAUUANGCAUGGAAUAACACGAUAGGACUCUGGCCUAUCUUGUUGGUCUGUAGGACCGGAGUAAUGAUUAAGAGGGACAGUCGGGGGCAUUCGUAUUUCAUUGUCAGAGGUGAAAUUCUUGGAUUUAUGAAAGACGAACUACUGCGAAAGCAUUUGCCAAGGAUGUUUUCAUUAAUCAAGAACGAAAGUUGGGGGCUCGAAGACGAUUAGAUACCGUCCUAGUCUUAACCAUAAACGAUGCCGACUAGGGAUCGGCGGGUGUUUUUUUGAUGACCCCGCCGGCACCUUAUGAGAAAUCAAAGUUUUUGGGUUCCGG